GGCAGGCGCUGGGGUUGGCAAGCAAGGGGCCUUACCUUCGAGGCUCGUCCUGGGCGCUGUGAGGCCUGCGGAUCUCUGCACAGGCCAGCAGGUCUCUGCAUCUGCUGCAGGGUCUCUGCACCUGCUGGAGGGUCUCUGCACCUGCGGGUGGGUCUCUGCACCUGCGGGCUGAUCUCUGCACUUGCCGGCGGGUCUCUGCACCUGCAGGGGGAACCCUGAGUCUACAGAGAGACCCUAGCAGGCCGGGCCACAUCUACAGACAGAGGGUCUCCACCCCGCCUCACCCUCCAGCCUGCUUCCUCACCCGGGCUCCCACCCCCGGGGGCCGGGUCACCAGCCCCUUUUCCCUCUGGCUGACCUCCCGCAUCACCUUCUCAGCGGCCAGGCCCGGCUUGGUCCCCAGCGCUGGGGCCCCUUUGUGGGUUGGGCACGGAUCACGGGCAGGCAGCGGGGGCCCCAGCGGGGCGCCCACCCAGGAGGCUGCGGGUCUAGGGUGCGCAGAGGCCUCGCGGGUCGCCCCCCCACACCUGACUCUCCCCGGGCCCAGCUCACAGGGCAGCCGCUGGUCUUGUGCUUCUCCAAUCAGCCGCUGCUGGCUCCAUUUUACAGACAAGAACAGUGACACGUGGACGCUUGACAGCUUUAUAUUUACCCAGAAGACUCGUUGAGGCUCUAAGAUGGGAUCUUGGCGUUCCCCUCACCUCAUCUCUUUCUUCAUACGAAUCCCGAUGGCUUCAUUCUCGGAGCGGAACUCUCCAAGUGGAAACGGAGCACUGACUUCUGGGGGGUGGCUGGUAUCAUUUACACCCUCCGUGCUGACUCCCCAAAGCUGUCAUGCAAAAUAUGGCUUCUUGGGGACCCUGGGAUCCAGCAUUGUGACUCUGCAUGGGACAUCUUCUACAUAUCCCCUGUUGUGAUAAAGCAACCAUUCGUGAAGAGCUGUUCUCCUACCUGGAGGGAAUUGGCUGCUUCCUACCACCAGUCUGUGAUCUCCAGAUACAUCUAUCAACACAUUCGGCUUAAAUGAGCCCAGAUGUCCAGCUCCUUAGGUUGACUUGCUAGCAUCCAGUCUCCUUGGCACAGGGCCUGGCUAGAUGCUAAUGCCUGAGUCGGUAACUCCCCCUUCCUUAACCAGCACCAACCCCUUUGGAACAACUUAGACUUUAUCCUAACAUGUUUAUUCAAGCCCAGCCUUGCUGCGCUCACUACCAUUCUGUUUCAUCAGACCAGUGUUGCAUCCCAUGCUCCAGUUUUUCAUGUAUUGAUGCCAUAUUUUAAACCCCAGAGGGUGACCUUAUUUUCUGUCCCUUCAGGGAGGGGGCCACUCAAGCUUGCCAUUCUAUCCCAUCUGCAGAAUAAAUCAUACAAACUGAAUAGACCUAGUGAGAUUAUAAAGCCAAAGCCAAAAUGUAUUUUGCCCAAAGUCAUUCUAGACCAAAGACAAUUCACAGACAGUGAAAUGAAUAUUUUUCCUUUACUUUUAUGAUCUGAAAGAUUUAUGGACCAUGACUUUAAAAGCCUAUUUAAGUUGUGUAGAAGAAUGCCCUGAUUUUUUAGAUAUAUGCUGAAGAAUUCAGAAAUGAAGUGUCAUGAUGUCUGCAACUUACUUUCAACUGGGUCAGCAAAAAGCACAUAUGCAUAUACAUAUAUGGAGAUAGGUAGACAUCAGGCAAAUUUAAGUGGUAUGUGUAUUAGACAUUCAGACAAUUACACAUUGUACUAGUCUUGCAACACUUCUCUAUGUUUGAAAAUAAUAUAUUGUUGGAAGGAAAUUCUAGCUGUGUUUUAAUUCCAUUUUGUGCAUCCAAAGGAGUAUUUGUUCUUUUCUUCUGUUAUGUUGACUUUAACCAUUUUGAUGUAUGGAAACUUUCACUAGAAUUGCCUUCCACCAUGCACUUAUAUUUUUGUUUAAUUCUUUUAUCCUCAUAACCAUUUUGUCCAACCUUCUUCUUAGAGCAUAGAUUUACUUUCUGCUUUUAGUGUAAUUUGACAUUUAAUAAGAGUAGGCUUCCUUUGGCUGUGUCUUUUCACCGAUGUCUUAAUAAAUCAAACUAUCUCUAGCCUCUGUGAUUAAGCCUACCCAACGCUCCAUUUCCCAUUAGGAUGGGAAUGUCUGUAACUCUCCCCCUGCCAGGCUGCCACAGAAUAACAUUGCAUUGUGAUUGUGACCUAGAAGUUGCAUGGAAUUAGAUCAAACUCAAUUUGGCCCUCUUUGAUUUGGGCCUCCUAACAUAAUUUUCUAGUGUUUGACCCAAUAAAGAUCAUGAAGUGGAGAAUUUGAGAAAACCUGAUUACUGAAGGGUUUUUUGUUGAUGUUGUUUGACUUGGUUUGUUUUUACUUAAUAGAAAUCAAAAGGACUAGUAGAAGACGUUUAAAGAAAUGACACUGCAUGGGGGGACAUUACCAUGGGACAAGACACAUCAGAAUCAACCGACCAGAAAGGCACCUUGGUGCUACUCCUCGGAGAGGACACAGCUGAACAGGAAGGACACUGAUCUCGCAGAGAGAAACAGAAAGAGGAUAAUUGCCGUGUUAGUAACCUACUUCUCAGAUGAGUUACUUCUCUGAGCAUAUCCGCAUUAAUGGAUGAUGGUGGCUUUGGAUCCCCUAGAGGUAGCGAGGUCUUAUCAUCAGAGAAAACAUUGACCGAAAGAAGUUCCACUGAAGAUUUGCCGACUCACUUAAUCCUCAUAACAGUGCUUUAAGGUUAAUAGAAUUAGCCUCAAGUUUCACAUGCAGAAACCGAGGCUCAGAGAUUUGAGUAAUUUGCUGAAUAAAGCUGGUUAGUGACACGGAUGGAUCAUCACAUGGGUCUUUUGGACUCGAAAUCUCAUACUCCAUGCUGUCUUUCCUCUCUUCCCUAACACUCUCUUCAUACACACUCUGUUUUGGCACGCACCUGUUGAUGGACACUUGGUUGUUUCUACAUGUGUGUAUUAUGAAUCAUGCUGCUAUGAACAUUCAUGGCCAAGUUUGUAUGUGACCAUACAUUCUCAGUUCUCUUGGGUAUGGAUGUGGGAGUGGAAUUACUGGGUCAAUUGGUCACUUUACAUUUAACUUUUUGACAUGCUGCCAAACUGAUUCCCAGAGCAGCUUCACUAUUUUAUUUUCCCACCAGCAGUGGACAAGGGCUCCGAUUUCUUCACAUUCUUGCCAGCAGUGGUAAUCGCGUCUUCUGAUCAUAAUCAUCUGGUGGGUGUGCAAUAGUAUUUCAUUGUGAGUUUAACUUGCAUUUCCUUAAUGACAAAUGAUGCUGAGUGUAUUUUCCUGUGUUUGCUGGUCAUUCGUAGAUCUUCUGUGGAGAAAUGUGUAUUCAAGUCUUUUGUCAACUUUUAAUCAGGUUACUUUUUAUUGUUGAGUUUUAAGAGUUCUUUAUAGAGUCUGACUACUCUUACCAGAUCUAUGAUUUGCAAAUAUUUUUCCCCAUCCUGUGGCUUUGUUUUUACUUUCUCAACAGUGUCCUUUGACACACAAAAAAAUGUUUAAUUUUGAUGAAGUUCAAUGCAUUUAUUUCAUCUAUUUUUCAUGAAGAUAGACACCUAUGUUUUAAGAGUUUUAUUGUUUUAACUCUUACAUUUAGGUCUUUGAUCCAUUUUGAGUUAAUUUUUUAUAUGGUGUCAGAUAGGGGUCCAUGUUCAUUCUUCUGCAUGUGGACAUCAGUUGUCCCAGUGCCAUUUGUUGAAGAGACUGUUCUUUUCCCAAUGAAUAGUCUUGAUAUCCUUGUCAAAUAUUUCCAAAAUUUGCUUUUUUUCUAAGAUUUAUUUAUUCAUAACAGACAGAGAGAGAGAGAGAGAGGCAGAGACACAGGCAGAGGGAGAAGCAGGCUCCAUGCAGGGAGCCCUGAUACUCCAGGAUCAGGCCUUGAGCCAAAGACAGACACAUUCAACUGCUGAGCCACCCAGGUGUCCCCCAAAUUUGUUUUUAUACCUUCUUCCAGUUCCCUUUUUUUAGUAGGAGAUUUAUAUACAGCAGAUAUGGUUUGGAUAUAAAAAUAAGCAAGCAAAUAUAAAUAUGUAUAUAAACAUACACACACAUACGUAUAUAUCAUAUACAGUUGACCUCGAACAAUGCAGGUUUAGGGGCACUGACCUCUUCCCUCCCAUGUAGUAGAAAAUCCACACCUAAAUUUUGACUACCCAAAACCUUGACUACUAAUAGUCUACUGUUGAUCAGAGACCUUACCAAUAGCACAGUUGACUAACACAUAUUUUGUAUAGUGUACGUCUUAUAUACUAUAUUAUUACAAAAGUAGUAAAAGUAAGCUAGAGAAAAGAAAGGAAAAUGUUAUUAAGAAAAUCACAAGAAAGGGAAAAUACAUGUGUAGCACUGAACUGUAUUUAUUGAAAAAAAUUUGCCUAUAAGUGGACUCAUGCAUU